rnacentral:rRNA from 1 species
GACGUAGGGUGCAAGCGUUGUCCGGAUUUACUGGGCGUAAAGAGCGCGUAGGCGGUCUGUUAAGUGUAGAGUGAAAUCUCCAGGGCUCAACCCGGAAACUGCUCUGCAUACUGGCAGACUUGAGGGACUGAGAGGUGAAUGGAAUUCCUGGUGUAGCGGUGAAAUGCGCAGAUAUCAGGAGGAACACCAAUUGCGAAGGCAGCUCGCUGGGACGUGACUGACGCUGAGACGCGAAAGCGUGGGGAGCAAACAGG